rnacentral:rRNA from 1 species
UAUCUCUGUAGAGUCUGCAUAUCAAUAAGCGGAGGAAAAGAAACUAACAAGGAUUCCCUUAGUAACGGCGAGUGAAGCGGGAAGAGCUCAAAUUUGAAAUCUUCAAGGUUUUACCUUGACGAAUUGUAGUUUAAAGAAGUGUUUUCUGUUGAAGUUUUGGUAAAAGUUCUUUGGAAUAGGACACCAUAGAGGGUGAGAAUCCCGUAUUUGACCAUUAUUUUCAGCUGUGUGAUACACUUUCAAAGAGUCGGAUUGUUUGGGAAUGCAGUCCAAAAUGGGUGGUAAAUUUCAUCUAAAGCUAAAUAUUGGCGAGAGACCGAUAGCGAACAAGUACCGUGAGGGAAAGAUGAAAAGAACUUUGAAAAGAGAGUUAAACAGUACGUGAAAUUGUCAAAAGGGAAGCGUUUGACACCAGUGUUGUUUUCUCGAAAAUCAAUUAAAAAAGGCCGGAUUUUGUGUUGUAUUGACCUUAAAAGCUUUCUUCACUCUUUUCUUGUCUUUUUUAAUGCACUUUUCGUUUAACAAGUCAACAUCAGUUUCUUUUGCUGUAAAAGGGUCAUUGGAAGGUGGCUUUCUUUUCGGAGAAAGUGUUUAUAGCCUUUGAUCUCUGCAACCGGAGAGACCGAGGUCUGCAGCGUAGACUCUUCGGGGUUAGAUACAUUUGUGCUAAGCUAUAGCUUUUUAUAGACAACUUGUUGACUAUAUUUAGUCUUGUAGGCUUACUCGCUUAUGCUAUUUUACCUACGCUUAGGAUGUUGAGUAGCGACAUACGCAC